GCCUAAGUGGCUCAGUCGGUUAAGUGUCUGACUUUGGCUCAGAUCAUGAUCUCACCUGUUGGUGGGUUUGAGCCCUGCUUUGGGCU
rnacentral:tRNA from 1 species